rnacentral:rRNA from 1 species
UCGGCGACCGGCGCACGGGUGAGUAACACGUAUGCAACCUGCCCGUCUCAGGGGGAUAAUCGUCGGAAACGGCGUCUAAUACCCCGUAUGAAGCUGGACGGCAUCGUCUGGUUUUGAAAGAAUAUCGGAGACGGAUGGGCAUGCGGCGCAUUAGCUAGUUGGCGGGGUAACGGCCCACCAAGGCGACGAUGCGUAGGGGUUCUGAGAGGAAGGUCCCCCACACUGGUACUGAGACACGGACCAGACUCCUACGGAAGGCAGCAG